rnacentral:rRNA from 1 species
CCAAUAGCGUAUAUUAAAGUUGUUGCAGUUAAAAAGCUCGUAGUUGAAUUUCGGGAUCAAUAUUUCGGUCAUGCCGUUGGUAUGCACUGUUAUCAUUGAUUUCUCACCUUCUAAAGAACCGUAAUGCCAUUAAUUUGGUGUUACGGGGAAUUAGGACUGUUACCUUGAAAAAAUUAGAGUGUUUAAAGCAGGCAUUUUGCUUGAAUACAUUAGCAUGGAAUAAUAAAAUAGGACGGCAUGAUUCUAUUUUGUUGGUUUCUAGGAUCACCGUAAUGAUUAAUAGGGAUAGUUGGGGGCAUUAGUAUUCAAUUGUCAGAGGUGAAAUUCUUGGAUUUAUUGAAGACUAACUACUGCGAAAGCAUUUGCCAAGGAUGUUUUCAUUAAUCAAGAACGAAAGUUAGGGGAUCGAAGACGAUCAGAUACCGUCGUAGUCUUAACCAUAAACUAUGCCGACUAGGAAUCAGACGAUGUUAAUUUUUUAAUGACUCGUUUGGCACCUUACG